rnacentral:antisense_RNA from 1 species
CGCAUGGACCCGGGCGAGCUGCAGAUGGUCCGGGAG